AGUGAACGCUGGCGGUAGGCCUAACACAUGCAAGUCGAACGGCAGCACAGUAAGAGCUUGCUCUUACGGGUGGCGAGUGGCGGACGGGUGAGGAAUACAUCGGAAUCUACUUUUUCGUGGGGGAUAACGUAGGGAAACUUACGCUAAUACCGCAUACGACCUACGGGUGAAAGCAGGGGAUCUUCGGACCUUGCGCGAUUGAAUGAGCCGAUGUCGGAUUAGCUAGUUGGCGGGGUAAAGGCCCACCAAGGCGACGAUCCGUAGCUGGUCUGAGAGGAUGAUCAGCCACACUGGAACUGAGACACGGUCCAGACUCCUACGGGAGGCAGCAGUGGGGAAUAUUGGACAAUGGGCGCAAGCCUGCUCCAGCCAUACCGCGUGGGUGAAGAAGGCCUUCGGGUUGUAAAGCCCUUUUGUUGGUAAAGAAAAGCAGCAGGUUAAUACCCCGCUGUUCUGACGGUACCCAAAGAAUAAGCACCGGCUAACUUCGUG
rnacentral:rRNA from 1 species